rnacentral:rRNA from 1 species
UACGUAGGUGGCAAGCGUUGUCCGGAUUUACUGGGCGUAAAGGGCGUGCAGGCGGUUUGUCUAGUCUAGGGUGAAAGCUCCCGGCUUAACUGGGAGAGGUCCUUGGAUACUGGCAAACUUGAGGGAGGCAGAGGAAAGUGGAAUUCCCGGUGUAGUGGUGGUAUGCGUGGAUAUCGGGAGGAACACCAGUGGCGAAGGCGGCUUUCUGGGCCUUACCUGACGCUGAGACGCGAAAGCGUGGGGAGCGAACCGG